rnacentral:rRNA from 1 species
GAUGAACGCUGGCUACAGGCUUAACACAUGCAAGUCGAGGGGCAGCAUGGGGUUUGCUUGCAAACCCCGAUGGCGACCGGCGCACGGGUGAGUAACGCGUAUCCAACCUUCCCGCGACUCGGGUAUAACCUGCCGAAAGGCAGACUAAUCCCCGAUGUCCUCCACUUUGGACAUCUUUUGUGGAGCAAAGGCUUCGGCCGGUUGCGGAUGGGGAUGCGUCCGAUUAGCUUGUUGGCGGGGCAAUGGCCCACCAAGGCUUCGAUCGGUAGGGGUUCUGAGAGGAAGGCCCCCCACAUUGGAACUGAGACACGGUCCAAACUCCUACGGGAGGCAGCAGUGAGGAAUAUUGGUCAAUGGGCGGAAGCCUGAACCAGCCAAGUAGCGUGCAGGAUGACGGCCCUAUGGGUUGUAAACUGCUUUUAUGCGGGGAUAACCGGGGCCACGCGUGGCCCCCUGCAGGUACCGCAUGAAUAAGGACCGGCUAAUUCCGUGCCAGCAGCCGCGGUAAUACGGAAGGUCCGGGCGUUAUCCGGAUUCAUUGGGUUUAAAGGGAGCGUAGGCCGUGGAUUAAGCGUGUUGUGAAAUGUAGGCGCUCAACGUCUGACUUGCAGCGCGAACUGGUCCACUUGAGUGUGCGCGACGCAGGCGGAAUUCGUGGUGUAGCGGUGAAAUGCUUAGAUAUCACGAGGAACCCCGAUUGCGAAGGCAGCUUGCGGGAGCACCACUGACGCUGAGGCUCGAAGGUGCGGGUAUCGAACAGG